AAUUAGCUAUGUGUUACAUUGUAUUUCCUAUUGCAGAGAUUUAGAACAAAACUAGUAAUGCCAAGUUAGAACCUUAAUGACAUUGAUGUCACUGAGGUCCCUGAAAAUGGUCACAAUG
ensembl:snoRNA